UACGUAGGGACCAAGCGUUGUUCGGAUUUACUGGGCGUAAAGGGCGCGUAGGCGGCUUAACAAGUCACUUGUGAAAUCUCCGGGCUUAACUCGGAACGGCCAAGUGAAACUGUCAAGCUAGAGUGCAGAAGGGGCAAUCGGAAUUCUUGGUGUAGCGGUGAAAUGCGUAGAUAUCUGGAGGAACACCGGUGGCGAAGGCGGCGUUCUGGACUGCAACUGACACUGAGGAACGAAAGCCAGGGGAGCAAACGGG
rnacentral:rRNA from 1 species